UAAUUAUGUUCUAUAUUUAACUGACCUAUUUGAACAGGAUCCAGAGCUGGUGCGGAACAUCUGUCGCUGGGUUAGGCAAGCUGUUCAGAUUCCUUUUUUUGCCAAGUUGACCCCAAAUGUCACUGAUAUUGUAAGCAUCGCAAGAGCCGCAAAGGAAGGUGGUGCAGAUGGCGUUACAGCCACCAACACUGUCUCAGGCCUGAUGGGAUUAAAAGCCGAUGGCACACCUUGGCCAGCAGUGGGUAUUGGAAAGCGGACCACAUAUGGAGGAGUGUCUGGGACAGCGAUCAGACCUAUUGCUUUGAGAGCUGUGACCUCCAUUGCCCGUGCUUUGCCUGGAUUUCCCAUUUUGGCCACUGGUGGAAUUGACUCAGCAGAAAGUGGUCUUCAGUUUCUCCACAGCGGAGCUUCGGUCCUACAG